GCCCCGCCCGCAAUGAGGGGAGCGGCCCGUCCCAGCGCCGUGCUACCGCCCGCUGUGUGCGCAGGAUACCGGGCCCAGAGCGGGGUGUGCAGCUCCGAACUGACGGGGCUGAGAGAAAGAAACGUAUUCAGCUCUCCCGUCGGAAGGGAAUGGCAGCAGCACCUCCGCUCAUCAGCCCUUAGCGGGUUUCCCACAGCCCACCUCACAGCUCCGCUCCGUGGGACGGCCUUCGCCUUUGGGAGCUCACCCAGACACAGCAGGACCCGGAGCUGUGCUCCAUCCCAGCGCUGUGACCUGUGACCGGCAUUGCCCUGCACAGCCCGGCCGUGUCAGCUCUGCGUUCCACCGGAUUCUGACUGCCCAGCAACCUGCCCUGUCCGUCAGAGCACAGACAGACCCGCUACAGAUAGAGACAACGGGCCAUAGGGGAGAUGGGACCUCAAACACACAGCAAGGAGAGACCGCGGGAAUGAGGACAGAGCUCUGACCCAACAACCCCCCCCAACCGCUGCUGUACUUCAGUGUUACUUGGAAGGGAGGUCACAGUGAGAGCACAAAAGAUAAAUAAGAUGAAAACACUGAGCCCCACCUGUGUUCUUUGUAUUAGGUGCAGCUGUACGACCUUCACAAUUAAACCAAGGUUGAUACAUUGGGAGGCACUGAAAGUUGACAAGAAACCUGGUUGUAGUGUAGAUACAUCGAUAGCUUCAUUGUUACACCAAGAAGCAUCUCCUGCAUCGUGCAUCUAAUGAAAUCUGGCCCCAGUUUCACUUGCCUUGUCCUAUAAGGGAGAUUCCUCUGGAACAUCACGUAGGUGUCUUCAACAGCUCGCAGAAAUUCUCUCAGAGGCUUCAAACCAUCACCUGAGAACUGAGCUGAUGUUCAGAAGAGCCCACAGCUCUCAUCUGGCUUUAAUUUCAGCCAGAGCUCAAUUCCUAAAAAGUGCUGCACAUCUAAAAAUGCUAAUCCUGUUUCUUAAGGAAAAAUCCCACAGGUGUUUCUUCCUCAAAUCUAUUGAGGAAACAACUCUUGUUGUACCAGGAACUCAAGGACAGCUAUUCUGUAACACUGUCUAGGGAUGUUGAUACACUACCCAAGUGUACCUCCUUUAUUGGAAGCAACAUUAUUCUCCAAUAAAAUAAACCAAACCCAACUGAAAUCUGUUGUUUUGACAACAUCAGAAACAAAAAGUACGAGCCCAAAUUUUAAAGCAAGUAUGUCUGAAACGGGUAGAAGCUUUGUCAUUAUUUUUCACACCAGUUGGUAAUAAGCUUCAGUGCCUGCUGUGUUCAGACACACCUAGAGCUGAAUCUGUGAGGGGUGUCUCACUACUAGAGGAAUGAUCCAACAACACAGUCAGUCCAACUCCACUUUUAGUUGAAAUACAUCCAUCCUGCUCACACACUAUACACGAUCCCCCAGUCUGCUCUUUCCAACCCCCAGGAUGCCCCCAGCCAUCAAACAAACACAUUACUGCAGGUUCAGCUGCCUGAUGAAUGUGGUCACUUCCUGGGAGCACAGUGACUGAACGCUAAGCUCCUCCGAGGGCAGUUUUGUGCAACUAAUUUAAUUAGAUUUGGCCAUAAUGCUGUAUUUAUCUGGUUUGUUUUUGCCUGACAACUGAUGUCUCUCCCCAUUAAUAUUAGGAUACUAAUGACGGUAUUCCUUUGCAUUGCCUUGGCAGAGCAUCUGGAUGUUGCUACUCCCAUUGGGCACCUCUGUUAGUCAGAGAUGCAGGGUACAGACAGUAUUAAUAUGGCUUGCUUACCAUGCUAACUGCGUAGAUAUACCAUGUGGAUCUUGAAAUUGCACAAGGCCCAGUACCUAAUUCACAGCACGUCAUAAUAAAAGCAGUCAGAUUUUGCCCAGCAUCUUGAUUUCUUGGAAACUGCCGGUUCAGGUUAACAGCCUACAGCGAUGCAAACCUUAGCUCCCAGAAAUCCCCUUCCAUCAGUAUAAGGGACCAAAACAAUCACCUGUUACGGAGUUUUCAAACAAUAAGCUUUAAUUGCCUUAUUAGAAAAAUAAGCACUGAAAUAUAUAUAAAUGUGAUUACAUUAAAGUAAUUCUGUAGUCUAACAUACUAGGAAACCAAAACCCAGUCAUAUUUUUCAUGGUACAGAGUAGCAAGAUUUAGGGUUUAGAAACUUUCCAUAGAGAACAGGGAUGUAUGCAGGAUCAUUUAGGAAACCACAGUAAAGACGAGACAAAUCUCCACAUUGCAAUAAAAACUAAGUAGAUCAAUUUAUUCUGUAUACUAUACAAUGUGUAAGUUUGUAAAGAACAGUUGACAUUUUUAUCACCUUAACAUCUCGACUGGGUGUAAUUAUGUCCAACAAAAUGUACUCCUGUGGCUUUUAUACAAACACUGUCCUACUACGUCAAGAACAAUGAGAGGGAAGCCUUUGGUGCUACAAAUUUGGGGAUGUAUCUGCGAGGUCGGAAUUAAUUCACUUUCAACCAUCUUGAAUAAAAUGUUGGUGCUACCUGCUAUGAUAAGCCUAGAUGAGAACUAGUCUAAUAACGAAACACUGUCUAACUUUAAAGGCAAAAUAUGAAAGGGACUGCCAGUCUACAGUGUGGGCAGGUCUUCUUUGUAAAAGGUCAUUAUCAAAUGGUAAAACUCAUAUAAUACAUUAUGUACAUACGUUUGGAUAGCUGUGUUAUCUUGCUGAAGUAAGCUGAAAGUAAGCAUCGAUCUGUAGUCACAUUUGCUUUACUGUUACAUGAUUAUUGGAUUUCCAGAGUUUUAAAUGGUGUUUAGAGUCAAAACAGCUGUGCCUGCUGCUUGAGCUCGGUCAGAUAGAAAGGCUCGUAACCAGUCACCGAACUCGUUAGUUUUACAGUACUUCAAAUAAUCUUUUUCUAGCUGAAUUUGUAGUAACCUUAAGAACUGCAAGUCACUGAGUGAGCAGCGGAAGAGCUUGAGUUAUCCAACCAGCAGGACAAGCUGAUCUGUAGCUACGUGAGAGGAAUGUUUCAAUUGACAUGGCUGUUUUUUUCAACCUUCCCAAGCAUCAAGAAAGCUCACCUGGAGUGAGCUACAGAGUAAUGGAACCAGGCAGUACAAAGCAAGUCUCCUUCAGUUGUUCACGUGUGUUUCAGGCCCAGUCCUAUGGUUCAGUUUUGAUUUUCAUUCGCACAUAAAACAAUAAAGAGGGAUUUUCACAUUAGGACAAACAUCUACAGAAAGCACUCUGUUUCAAUAUAUCCAGUUUGCUUCUUAUUUUUCCAGCCUAACUUCUUGCUUAAACCCAGUCAGCCCAUCCCUUCAACCUGUUCCGUGAAAAAUCACAAGUUCUUUACAGUGCCAGUAAAAGAUAUGGAAUUAAAGGGCUUUCUCUAAUUACAAGCAAAGGGCCACAAAGACUUGAUUAGAAUCAAGUUAGCAAUUUCAAAAAUUCUCUAGAAUGACUCCUUUAAACUGAAGAGUGUACAUUAUACAGAUACUGCAGUGCUUCACUCAGAUUCUAAUCAAAGCAGGACCAAAUUAAGAUUAUUCACCUCAUCUUGAUCAUUUUCUUGUAUUUAACAUUAGGAAAG